CUACGGGUGGCAGCAGUGAGGAAUAUUGCACAAUGGGGGGAACCCUGACGCAGCAACGCCGCGUGGAGGAUGACGCAUUUCGGUGUGUAAACUCCUUUUAUAUGUCAAGAAAAUGACGGUAGCAUAUGAAUAAGCACCGGCUAACUCCGUGCCAGCAGCCGCGGUAAUACGGAGGGUGCAAGCGUUACUCGGAAUCACUGGGCGUAAAGGACGCGUAGGCGGGUUGGAAAGUCAGGUGUGAAAUCCUACAGCUUAACUGUAGAACUGCACAUGAAACUUCUAAUCUAGAGUAUGGGAGGGGGAGAUGGAAUUAGUGGUGUAGGGGUAAAAUCCGUAGAUAUCACUAGGAAUACCUAAAGCGAAGGCGAUCUCCUGGAACAUUACUGACGCUAAGGCGUGAAAGCGUGGGGAGCAAACAGGAUUAGAUACCCCGGUAGUC
rnacentral:rRNA from 1 species